UACGUAGGUCCCGGGCGUUGUCCGGAUUUAUUGGGCGUAAAGCGAGCGCAGGUGGUUUAUUAAGUCUGGUGUAAAAGGCAGUGGCUCAACCAUUGUAUGCAUUGGAAACUGGUAGACUUGAGUGCAGGAGAGGAGAGUGGAAUUCCAUGUGUAGCGGUGAAAUGCGUAGAUAUAUGGAGGAACACCGGUGGCGAAAGCGGCUCUCUGGCCUGUAACUAACACUGAGGCUCGAAAGCGUGGGGAGCAAACAGG
rnacentral:rRNA from 1 species